GACGAACGCUGGCGGCGUGCUUAACACAUGCAAGUCGAACGGAAAGGCCCUGCUUUUGUGGGUUGCUCGAGUGGCGAACGGGUGAGUAACACGUGAGUAACCUGCCCUUGACUUUGGGAUAACUUCAGGAAACUGGGGCUAAUACCGGAUAGGAGCUCCUGCUGCAUGGUGGGGGUUGGAAAGUUUCGGCGGUUGGGGAUGGACUCGCGGCUUAUCAGCUUGUUGGUGGGGUAGUGGCUUACCAAGGCUUUGACGGGUAGCCGGCCUGAGAGGGUGACCGGCCACAUUGGGACUGAGAUACGGCCCAGACUCCUACGGGAGGAAGCAGUGGGGAAUAUUGCACAAUGGGCGGAAGCCUGAUGCAGCAACGCCGCGUGCGGGAUGACGGCCUUCGGGUUGUAAACCGCUUUCGCCUGUGACGAAGCGUGAGUGACGGUAAUGGGUAAAGAAGCACCGGCUAACUACGUG
rnacentral:rRNA from 1 species